rnacentral:rRNA from 1 species
CCUAGGGGAGGCAGCAGUGGGGAAUCUUCCACAAUGGACGAAAGUCUGAUGGAGCAACGCCGCGUGAGUGAAGAAGGGUUUCGGCUCGUAAAGCUCUGUUGUCGGGGACGAAUGUGCAGUAUUUGAAUAAAGUACUGCAAUGACGGUACCUGACGAGGAAGCCACGGCUAACUACGUGCCAGCAGCCGCGGUAAU